rnacentral:misc_RNA from 1 species
AAGUCGUAACAAGGUUUCCGUAGGUGAACCUGCGGAAGGAUCCUUAACACGUAUCCAAACGUAAAAAACCCCCCCGUGAACAUUCAAUCCUGCUCUUGUAAAGUAGUUUUGAUUCAGAGACCUCUGGCUACGUGAGAACAUUGGAACAGUUACAAUCGAGCGGUAGUUUCAUAGGCAUUGUUUCCCCAAGCAGUCAGUGUCUGAAAGUGUCACUGAUUGUGCAAGGAUAGCGCUUCAACGAUUCCUGUAGACCGUACACUCGGGCAGGAGCUAUGCCAAAGGGUCCCCAUGCCCCCUUAUAACCCCACAGUUUAAUGUGAAGCUCAAUGUAAUACAUUGGGUAAAAAAACCGAACAACUGUUAACAAUGGAUAUCUUGGUUCUC